UAGGGAAUAUUGGGCAAUGGAUGCAAGUCUGACCCAGCCAUGCCGCGUGGAGGAAGAAGGUCCUCUGGAUUGUAAACUCCUUUUUUGGGGGAAGAAUAGUUUUCUUGCGAGAGAAUGUGACGGUACCCUAAGAAUAAGCCACGGCUAACUACGUGCCAGCAGCCGCGGUAAUACGUAGGUGGCAAGCGUUGUCCGGAUUUAUUGGGUUUAAAGGGUGCGUAGGUGGUUUGAUAAGUCAGUGGUGAAAGCUGGUUGCUCAACAAUCAAGUUGCCAUUGAUACUGUCGGACUUGAGAGAAGUGGAGGUUCAUGGAAUGGAUGGUGUAGCGGUGAAAUGCAUAGAUAUCAUCCAGAACGUCGAUUGCGAAGGCAGUGGGCUGUACUUUAUCUGACACUGAGGC
rnacentral:rRNA from 1 species